GAAAAUGUGUCUCCAUUCGAAGGUAUAACAUAACACUGUUGUCACCACAUCUGGACAUUUUUGGCACCUACUGUUGACUGCGCAGGUCUGGAGAAUCACCAGGAAUAAAAUGAUGAAAGAGAUGCCAUUAAGAAGUUGCUGUCCGUAACAUGCGAUGAGUGCUCCUACAUCCAACACCAGUACCAAUGGAAGAGAGAGAGCUGCAGAUCUGCAAACAGGACAGAAAGAGCCCCAAAGGGAAAAGUCUGCUCAGCAAACUUUCUGAUGAGCCCUUGAAGCUACAGCCUCACAGUGUGUGCAUGAGGACAAGACUGACAGACAACCCUAGAUCUAAGCAUCCAACUCAUAGCUGAAAAGAGAAGAUGAGCUGCACUUCCAACCCCACCACAGCUCUUGAACCAAAGCUCCACG
ensembl:lncRNA